CAUCUAGGCGGUCAAUCAAGUCGAAGGUGAGAACUUGUGGCUCAACCAUAAGCUUGCCUACGAAACUGAUUAACUAGAGUACUGGAGAGGUGGACGGAACUACACGAGUAGAGGUGAAAUUCGUAGAUAUGUGUAGGAAUGCCGAUGAUGAAGAUAGUUCACUGGACAGAAACUGACGCUGAAGUGCGAAAGCUAGGGGAGCAAACA
rnacentral:rRNA from 1 species